AAUUUUUCUAGAUCUGAACAGGAUUCAGGUAAAUGGCUCCCACAGGAUGCUUUAAAGGCCUGAAGCCUGUGACCAUGUGAAAUGCAGGAAUGCAGAGCUUUGGUCAUCCCUUCAACUUCUGCUUUCCUCGUGGAAAAUGCAGAUCCUGAAUGCUGAACACUGGCUUGUCCUGAGAAGGGUACAUGUUUGAACGAGGAGUAAAGCCCCUUGCAAACUCUCUAUGGUGAUGUCCUUAGAGAGAUGUGAUUUCUUUGGCUGAUCCAGGGGAAGGAGAAACCAGGACAAGAAGACAAGUGAGUUAAGAUAAC
rnacentral:lncRNA from 12 species